GACAUCCCCCCGUUGUUUUUGACUCCAUUCUGACUUCUAUCAAAUUAUCCACUGAGAAAUACCGUGAAUAACUGACAGAGUAAAUGCGUGUAAUCCUUCUGGAGCCAGAAGAAAUCCGUCGCAAGUCAAAAUGAAACAUAAAAAUAUUCUCCAAAAGCUAAUAGAAAGAAGGCAGAGGCACGCUUAACUGGUGGGGGCCCACCACCACCUCCCCUCACCCCAGUGGAAGAGUUGGCUCUGUCCCUUAAUAAAGGGCGGCCUGUGGUUGACGGCAUCAAACACGGAACCUCUUCAGACUGUGCCUCCCACAAUAGUGAUGUACUGAAAUUUACUGAUGGAUGUACAGUAUUAUUGGACCCUCCUGAAACCACACAGUCUGUCACAGUUGAUGUAGAUGAAGAGACAAUGUCUGCUGUGACAGAAAUAGAAAAUGAUGGAACACCCAUAGAGGUAUGAUGCAUAUC